rnacentral:rRNA from 1 species
AUUGAACGCUGGCGGCAUGCCUUACACAUGCAAGUCGAACGGUAACGGGCCUUCGGGUGCCGACGAGUGGCGAACGGGUGAGUAAUACAUCGGAACGUGCCCGAUCGUGGGGGAUAACGAGGCGAAAGCUUUGCUAAUACCGCAUACGAUCUACGGAUGAAAGCAGGGGACCGCAAGGCCUUGCGCGGACGGAGCGGCCGAUGGCAGAUUAGGGAGUUGGUGGGAUAAAGGCUUACCAAGCCGACGAUCUGUAGCUGGUCUGGGAGGAUGAUCAGCCACACUGGGACGGAGACACGGCCCAGACUCCUACGGGAGGCAGCAGUGGGGAAUUUUGGACAAUGGGCGCAAGCCUAAUCCAGCCAUGCCGCGUGCAGGAUGAAGGCCUUCGGGCUGUAAACUGCUUUUGUACGGAACGAAAAGCCUUCUUUUAAUACAGGAGGGUCAUGACGGUACCGUAAGAAUAAGCACCGGCUAACUACGUG